AGAGUUUGAUCAUGGCUCAGAACGAACGCUGGCGGCAGGCUUAACACAUGCAAGUCGAGCGCCCAGCAAUGGGAGCGGCGGACGGGUGAGUAACACGUGGGAACAUGCCUAUCGGUACGGAAUAACUCAGGGAAACUUGUGCUAAUACCGUAUACGCCCGAAAGGGGAAAGAUUUAUCGCCGAUAGAUUGGCCCGCGCCUGAUUAGCUUGUUGGUGAGGUAAUGGCUCACCAAGGCUUCGAUCAGUAGCUGGUUUGAGAGAGCGACCAGCCACACUGGGACUGAGACACGGCCCAGACUCCUACGGGAGGCAGCAGUGGGGAAUCUUGGACAAUGGGCGAAAGCCUGAUCCAGCCAUGCCGCGUGAGUGAUGAAGGCCCUAGGGUUGUAAAACUCUUUCGGCGGGGACGAUAAUGACGGUACCCGCAGAAGAAGCUCCGGCUAACUUCGUGCCAGCAGCCGCGGUAAUACGAAGGGGGCUAGCGUUGUUCGGAAUUACUGGGCGUAAAGCGUGCGCAGGCGGCUCAUCAAGUCAGAGGUGAAAGCCCAGGGCUCAACCCUGGAACUGCCUUUGAAACUGUUGGGCUUGAGUACGGGAGAGGUGAGUGGAAUUCCGAGUGUAGAGGUGAAAUUCGUAGAUAUUCGGAAGAACACCAGUGGCGAAGGCGGCUCACUGGACCGUAACUGACGCUCAUGCACGAUAGCGUGGGGAGCAAACAGGAUUAGAUACCCUAGUAGUCC
rnacentral:rRNA from 1 species